CUGGUGAUGUUAAUGGAGACAGUCCAAGUUCAACGGAUGAGGAAUCAACCCUGAAUUCGCGCGACAUACCUUGCAAACAUUGUGCGAGCAGACGGUGGUGAUGGGCUGGAAGGCGAGCUCCUGGCAGCACACGCACAUGAAGAUUUGCUCCAUCUUACGCAGGAAAUUCUUCAAACAUGUUAAAGGAGUAAAAGAGGGAAAUUAGAAAUAGAAGAAAUAAAUCAAAUUUGUGAAAACUGCGCAAUAUAU